rnacentral:lncRNA from 1 species
UUUGUUUCUCAAUUAGAUUAUAUCACCUAGAAUCCCGAGAUAAUGUAUUUUCUCUAUCUUUUAUGCUUCCACAAAUUGCUCUGGUAACAGCACGCACUUAACAAACAGAUAUUGCUAAGCUGAUAUUAAUGCAAUAGGUCCAAGUUUGAGCAAGUGUGGGGAGAGUAAUUGACUUUUUCACUUGGAGAGAAUCCACAAAAGAGGACAAAGAGAUGGAAAUUUACUUAGAGAACUAUGAGUUUCCAUGAUUUAUCUUGACUUCCAGGGAAUGAUACACACCUUUAAGUUUUCCUUCCUUCCUCCCUUCCCUAAUUUCUUUAUUCUUAUGCCAUCCUAGGUAACCUUAAAUGAUCUCCAGUUUCAGAGGAGAAACGAGGGGAAGUGCUUGAGAUGCUGUGCCACCUCCAUGCGUGUUGCCAUGGUGACAGGAGGAACUGGUUCCUAAGGCCCCAGCCUGCAGGUGAUGGUAGAACUGGGAUUCCAUCUCGACUUUGCAUCUGAAGAGCUUUGAAGAUGGUGAAGAGGGUGGGCUCAGGGUCCUUCAAAGAGGCAUCAUUAGGUUAGGUUAUAGGAAAGCUGAGGCAAGAAAUUAAAUUUUGUUCCUAAGUACUAAAUUCUAUACC